rnacentral:tRNA from 1 species
GGAGACGUCGCAUAGUGGACGAGUGCGCCUGUCUUGAAAACAGGUAGAGCUGCAAAGCUCUCGGGGGUUCGAAUCCCUCCGUCUCCG